UGGAUCUGGUUUGGUUAGAAAGAUCUUGACUGAACAGUUAUCCACAAGUCACCAGAAUGAUGACGUCGACAAUUUUUCUCAGUUUGUUGCUGGCUUUAUUACCCUGUGUCCAGUCGGAGAUUACUUUGCUUCAACCAGAGGCAGAGACCGGCCGAGCCGGAGGCUCCCUAAGACUGACCUGUAAAACCAGCGGUUUCGAUCUUGGCAGAUCCUACAUGCAUUGGAUCCGACAAGUUCCUGUACAGGGGCUGGAGUGGAUAGUUUACUACUAUACUUCAUCGAGCAAUAACUAUGCGCCAGCGAUUAAAGAUCGAUUUACUGCAUCCAAAGACACUUCAAAAAACAUCUUCGCAUUGGAAAUGAAGAGCCUGAAGAUCGACGACACCGCCAUCUAUUACUGUGCAAGAGAUCACUCUGCGACGAACAACGGCUGGACCCACUUCGAGUACUGGGGACAAGGAACCAUAGCGACCGUGACUACAGCGACACUGUCUUCUCCGACACUUUAUGGCUUAGUCUCCUCCUGUCAGCAACACAACAUUGACAGUUCAGUUAUCUAUGGUUGCUUGGCGAUGGACUAUUACCCUGGCGUCGCCAGUGUGACCUGGAAGAAACGUGGGCAGUCGAUCACAGCUGGAUUUAAGACUUACCCAUCGGUGAGAAACAAGCAGGGAACUUACACACUGAGCAGCCAGUUAGCCAUCAACGAGUCAGGUGCGGAAUGUGGCCACAUAUCCUGUGAGGUUCGACAGAGCGGGUCCGACAAGAGCACUGGAAUGCCAUGUGCACUUGACCCUCCGACUGUUCUCCUAACUGUAAGUUCCAGUGAAGAAAUCGAGGGCAGAAAAUUUGCAAUCAUCGUCUGUUCAAUCAGUGACUUCCACUCAAAGUCAAUCUCCGUGAAUUGGUUGAAGAACGGACGACGCGUGGAUUCUGGUAUCUUCACUUCUCCCGUGUGUGAAGCGAAUGGAAACUUCUCAGCGACCAGUCGCCUGAGAGUCCCUUAUGCUGAAUGGUUGGACAAAGCAGUCUAUACAUGCCAGGUCAAUUAUGGAGGGGUCAUUCAAAGUUGGAACAUCACCGGACCUCAGGUUUCCGAGUGCCAUGGUUACAAAGCUAAAAUACUACCACCACCAGUCGAACAGGUCUUACUGGAGGCGACGGUGACAUUAACAUGUGUUGUGUCAAAUCUUCAUUCUGGAGUCAGCUUCACCUGGAUACAAGGCGAGAAGACUCUGAAAUCAGAGAUUGGUCACCAGUCCGGAGAGCAUUCCGAUGGUGCGAUCAGCAAAUUAGAUAUUUCUACUGAAGCCUGGCUGAGUGAGGUUGUUUUCGAAUGCGUGGUGAAUCAUCAGUAUCUACCGACUCCUCUGAGAGACUCCAUCCACAAGGAGAAAAUUGAAAAUCCACUGGAGCCAUCGGUGUCUGUCCUCCUGCCAACGACAGAAGAACUCUCCAUGCAGAGGUUUGUUGCCCUCACCUGUUUAGUCAGAGGUUUCAGGCCCCGAGAGAUCUUUGUCAAGUGGACAACCGACGGCAAGCCGGUUAAUCCCGGUAACUACAAGAACACCGAAGUGACGGCAGAGAGCGACAACACCUCCUUCUUCUUGUACAGCCUAUUAUCGAUUGCAGCGGAGGAGUGGGCCAGCGGUGCUUCUUACUCCUGUGUGGUGGGACAUGAAGCGAUUCCAUUGAAGAUCAUCAACAGAACGGUUGAUAAAUCCAGCGGUAAACCGAGUUUUGUGAAUAUUUCGCUUGCACUGAUGGACACCAUUAAUUCAUGCCAAUGAAAAUCUCAAGGUUACCCUUAAGAAUUCAAUAAAAGUAAUAAAAUGUU